GUGCAGAUCUUGGUUGUAGUAGCGAAUAUUCAACUGCGGAAAUUCCGCGAUAUAUCGUUGAAGGCUGAAGUGGGGAAGGGUUUCGUGUCAACGGCGAUCGGACACGAGUCACUCGGUACUAAAGCCAACGUUGGACCGCACUUGUGGAACGGGGUGAUGGCCGCCCGGGCGCCGCGUUCGCUCACCUCGUGUGGGCGGGCGUCGAUGCCUGGGAACUCUACGGCUCCACCCAGUUGGCUGAAAGUAAAGCGGGCUUAACAUUCCCGCAGCUGACCAUGGGAAUUUGAGGCGGUAACGCUUUUGAGACGAUGCUGGUGACAGUGUGGGACGGGCCCGGAAGAGUUCUCUUUUCUUUUGAAUGGACUUCCCCCUCCGUUGAGUUCGCGUCGUGCGGUGACGCGGAAGGGGAUCCAGCAAAGCCAUGCAUUUGUGCGUGGUAGGGAAACCGUCUCACGCUUCAGAAAAAGCCAGCGGGGUCCUAUUUCCUGAUGGCAGGCCGUACCCAUAUCCGCAUCCGGUCCCCAAGCUUAGAAAGCUCUAGCCAAUAGAACAAGGUAGUCUAAGGGAAGUCGGCAAAUUAGAUGCGUAUGCUCGCGAGAAGCAUUGGCUCUGAAGGCAAAGCUGUUGGGAGCCGGCAAGUCC
rnacentral:rRNA from 13 species